rnacentral:rRNA from 1 species
CUACGAAAGGUGCAAGCGUUGUUCGGAUUUACUGGGCGUAAAGAGAUCGUAGGUGGUUUGUUAAGUCGGAUGUGAAAUCCCGGGGCUCAACCCCGGAACUGCAUUCGAUACUGGCAGACUAGAGUUCGGGAGGGGUAAGCGGAAUUCCGUGUGUAGCAGUGAAAUGCGUAGAUAUACGGAGGAACACCUGAGGCGAAGGCGGCUUACUGGACCGAUACUGACACUGAGGAUCGAAAGCGUGGGUAGCAAACAGGAUUAGAAACCCUAGUAGUCC